rnacentral:rRNA from 3 species
UACCAGUUGGAAACGACUGUUAAUACCGCAUAAUGUCUACGGACCAAAGUGUGGGACCUUCGGGCCACAUGCUAUCGGAUGCGCCUACGUGGGAUUAGCUAGUUGGUGAGGUAAUGGCUCACCAAGGCGACGAUCUCUAGCUGGUUUGAGAGGAUGAUCAGCCACACUGGAACUGAGACACGGUCCAGACUCCUACGGGAGGCAGCAGUGGGGAAUAUUGGACAAUGGGCGCAAGCCUGAUCCAGCCAUGCCGCGUGUGUGAAGAAGGCCUUCGGGUUGUAAAGCACUUUCAGCGAGGAGGAAGGGUGGUGUGUUAAUAGCACAUCAUUUUGACGUUACUCGCAGAAGAAGCACCGGCUAACUCUGUGCCAGCAGCCGCGGUAAUACAGAGGGUGCAAGCGUUAAUCGGAAUUACUGGGCGUAAAGCGCACGUAGGCGGUUGGUUAAGUUGGAUGUGAAAGCCCCGGGCUCAACCUGGGAAUUGCAUUCAAAACUGGCCAACUAGAAUACGGGAGAGGGGGGUAGAAUUCCAAGUGUAGCGGUGAAAUGCGUAGAGAUUUGGAGGAAU